AGCUUUGCACGGUGGCAGUAUCAUAGCCAGUGAGGUUUCUUUGAAGCACGAGUAUUGCUAAUUAAAAACUAAGCAGAAGAAAUGCCAUCAGAUGUAAUGAAAAAUGUUAGAAGCGUUAACCCUGUACC
rnacentral:snRNA from 14 species